GAAGGUGGGGAUGACGUCAAGUCAUCAUGGCCCUUACGGCCUGGGCUACACACGUGCUACAAUGGUCGGUACAGAGGGUUGCCAAGCCGCGAGGAGGAGCUAAUCCCAGAAAACCGAUCGUAGUCCGGAUCGCAGUCUGCAACUCGACUGCGUGAAGUCGGAAUCGCUAGUAAUCGCGAAUCAGAAUGUCGCGGUGAAUACGUUCCCGG
rnacentral:rRNA from 1 species